rnacentral:rRNA from 1 species
UACGUAGGCAGCAAGCGUUGUUCGGAGUUACUGGGCGUAAAGGGUGCGUAGGUGGCUCUAUAAGUAUGGUGUGAAAUCUCCCGGCUUAACUGGGAGGGUGCGCCGUAGACUGUGGGGCUAGAGUGUGGGAGAGGAAAGUGGAAUUCCUGGUGUAGCGGUGAAAUGCGUAGAUAUCAGGAGGAACACCUGUGGUGUAGACAGCUUACUGGACCAUUUCUGACGCUGAGACACGAAAGCGUGGGUAGCAAACAGG